UACAUGGGGUGCAAAUGUUGCUCGGAAUCAUUGGGCGUAAAGCGCACGUAGGCGGACUCUUAAGUCGGUGGUGAAAUCCUGGAGCUCAACUCCAGAACUGCCUUCGAUACUGAGAGUCUUGAGUCCGGGAGAGGUGAGUGGAACUGCGAGUGUAGAGGUGAAAUUCGUAGAUAUUCGCAAGAACACCAGUGGCGAAGGCGGCUCACUGGCCCGGUACUGACGCUGAGGUGCGAAAGCGUGGGGAGCAAACAGG
rnacentral:rRNA from 1 species